rnacentral:lncRNA from 12 species
GGCAUUUUAAUAAUAUUAAUUCUUCUAACUCAUAAACACGGGAUACUUUUCCAUUUGUUUUGUUUUCUUUGAUUUCUUUCAUCAAUGUCUUGUAGUUUUCAGUGUCUGGAUCUUUCACCUCCUAGGUUAAAUUUAUUUCUACGUAUUUUAUUGUUUUUUGUAUCACUGUAAAUGAGAUUGAUUUCUUUCUCAUAAACUUCAUUGUUAGUGUGUAAAAAUGCUACUGAUUUUUGCAUGUUAAUUUUGUAUCCUGCAACUUUGCUGAAUCCAUUGAUUAGAUCUAGCAGUUUCUUGGGUGAGUCAUUAGAAGUUUCUAUAUCUGGGGAUCGUUUUUGGAUGUGUGCCAAACACGGCUGGUCCCCAGGCUGCGCCCAGGUCAGCUCCGUGGGCCAUGAUUAAAACAAGGUGAGCCAACCAUGACUGGCAAAACACAGACCAGCAAUGUCACCAAUAAGAAUGACCCCAAGUCCAUCAACUCCUGUGUUUUCAUCGGCAAUCUAAAUACAGCCAUUUUCAAGAAAGUUGACAUUGAAACCAUUUUCUCAAAGUAUGGAAAAUAGUUGGAUGCUCAGUUCACAAAGGCUAUGCAUUUGUACAGUACAUGAGUGAAUGACACGCAAGAGCUGCAGUGGCUGGAGAAAAUGCCAGGAUCAUUGCUGGCCAACCGCUUGAUAUCAACAUGGCAGGAGAACCCAAACCAUACAGACCCAAACCAGGAAACAAAAGACCCCUUUCUGCACUUUAUAGACUCGAGUCAAAGGAGACUUUCCUGUCUGUUGGUGGUUAUGUCUUUGACUAUGAUUACUACAGAAAAGAUUUCUACAAUUGUGAAAUCAGAUGAGCUCCAGACAAUCAAGAAAGAAUUAACCCCGAUCAAAAUGAAAAUUGACUCCUUGCUAGGGUGCCUGGAGAAAAUUGAGAAGCAGCAGAAGGUGGAGGCAGUUAUUUGAUAAUGAAAGUUUCCAGCAUAAAGUACUGAUAGGAGAUGGAAGAUCACGAGCCAAAGAUGGGGAAGCCACACAACAUGGAGAUUGUCCAGUAUUCAAGUUUCAUACUAUCAUAUUUUUUUCCCUUUUUGUUUUUAGUGAAUUUCUAAGCUGUGAGGAAUAAUUGUAAUGAAGCAUAACUACUUGAUUUUGGAUUCUCU